rnacentral:rRNA from 1 species
AUUGAACGCUGGCGGCAGGCUUAACACAUGCAAGUCGAGCGGGGGAAGGUAGCUUGCUACCGGACCUAGCGGCGGACGGGUGAGUAAUGCUUAGGAAUCUGCCUAUUAGUGGGGGACAACAUCUCGGAAGGGAUGCCAAUACCGCAUACGUCCUACGGGAGAAAGCAGGGGAUCUUCGGACCUUGCGCUAAUAGAUGAGCCUAAGUCGGAUUAGCUAGUUGGUGGGGUAAAGGCCUACCAAGGCGACGAUCUGUAGCGGGUCUGAGAGGAUGAUCCGCCACACUGGGACUGAGACACGGCCCAGACUCCUACGGGAGGCAGCAGUGGGGAAUAUUGGACAAUGGGGGGAACCCUGAUCCAGCCAUGCCGCGUGUGUGAAGAAGGCCUUAUGGUUGUAAAGCACUUUAAGCGAGGAGGAGGCUACUCUAGUUAAUACCUAGGGAUAGUGGACGUUACUCGCAGAAUAAGCACCGGCUAACUCUGUGCCAGCCGCCGCUGUAA